rnacentral:rRNA from 1 species
CANUGGGGGAAACCCUGNAUGCAGCGACGCCGCGCUGGAGGAAGAAGGUCUUCGGCAUUGUAAACUCCUGGUUGUUGAGGAAGAUAAUGACGGUACUCAACAAGGAAGUGACGGCUAACUACGUGCCAGCAGCCGCGGUAAAACGUAGGUCACAAGCGUUGUCCGGAAUUACUGGGUGUAAAGGGAGCGCAGGCGGGAAGACAAGUUGGAAGUGAAAUCUAUGGGCUCAACCCAUAAACUGCUUUCAAAACUGUUUUUCUUGAGUAGUGCAGAGGUAGGCGGAAUUCCCGGUGUAGCGGUGGAAUGCGUAGAUAUCGGGAGGAACACCAGUGGCGAAGGCGGCCUACUGGGCACCAACUGACGCUGAGGCUCGAAAGUGUGGGUAGCAAACAGGAUUAGAUACCCUGGUAGUCCAAGGGCGAAUUC